rnacentral:rRNA from 1 species
GCAUAUCAAUAAGCGGAGGAAAAGAAACUAACAAGGAUUCCCCUAGUAGCGGCGAGCGAAGCGGGAAGAGCUCAAAUUUAUAAUCUGGCACCUUCGGUGUCCGAGUUGUAAUCUCUAGAAAUGUUUUCCGCGUUGGACCGCACACAAGUCUGUUGGAAUACAGCGGCAUAGUGGUGAGACCCCCGUAUAUGGUGCGGACGCCCAGCGCUUUGUGAUACAUUUUCGAAGAGUCGAGUUGUUUGGGAAUGCAGCUCAAAUUGGGUGGUAAAUUCCAUCUAAAGCUAAAUAUUGGCGAGAGACCGAUGGCGAACAAGUACCGUGAGGGAAAGAUGAAAAGCACUUUGGAAAGAGAGUUAACAGUACGUGAAAUUGUUGGAAGGGAAACGCUUGAAGUCAGACUUGCUUGCCGAGCAAUCGGUUUGCAGGCCAGCAUCAGUUUUCCGGGAUGGAUAAUGGUAGAGAGAAGGUAGCAGUUUCGGCUGUGUUAUAGCUCUCUGCUGGAUACAUCUUGGGGGACUGAGGAACGCAGUGUGCCUUUGGCGGGGGUUUCGACCUCUUCACACUUAGGAUGCUGGUGGAAUGGCUUUAAACGACCCGUCUUGAAACACGGACC